AGAGGUGAUUCAAGGAGCAGACAGAAUCAGAAUAAAACAAGAGAGGUAUGCUCAAGGAAUCCUGCGUGACACAAAGAUGGAAGCGUGUAACGCAACUCAAAUUCCAAUGGAGGCGAAUUUGAAGAUCUCAAAAGCUGAAGAUGAGCAAGAGAUAGAUGCUACCGAGUUCAGAAGAAUCAUAGGAUGUUUGAGGUAUCUGCUUCACACAAGACCCGACCUGUGUUACGCAGUAUGUGUUCUUAGCAGAUACAUACACAAUCCGAGAGACUCUCACGGACAAGCCAUCAAACACAUAUUGCGAUAUGUGAAAGGAACAACAAACUACGGUCUGUUCUUCAAGAAAAAUGGGUCAAGGAGUGUCGUUGGUUAUGGUGACAGCAGUCACAACAUUGAUCUCGAUGACGGGAGGAGCACGUCAUGACAUGCAUUCUACUACGGUUCAUCACUGAUUACUUGGACGUCGCAGAAGCAGCAGACGGUUGCAUUGUCAUCAUGCGAAGCAGAAUUCAUGGCAGCAACAGAAGCAGCGAAGCAAGCUAUAUGGAUCAAGGAAUUGUUGAGUGAGAUACUAAGCAAAGAAGGCGAGAGAGUCAAGCUUAGGAUCGACAACAAAUCAGUCAUUGCUCUAACCAAGAAUUCAGUUUUCCAUGGAAGGAGUAAGCAUGUACUCAAGAAGUAUCACUUCAUUCGUGAGUGUGUGGAGAACGGGCAUAUCGAAGUGGAGCAUGUGCCGGGUGUUGAGCAGAAGGCUGACAUCCUUACCAAGCCAUUAGCAAGGAUUAUGUUCAAGCAAAUGAGGAGCUUAAUCGGAGUUCAAGAAAUUGAUCUCCCUAAUUCAAGUUGGAAUUAAGGGGGUGAAUGUUGGAUAAUUUCAAGCUUGUGGAAACUUAACAUAUUAUUAGAUGUUUAAUAUGUUAAGAUAAAAUAAGGAAACUUAGAAAUAGGAAAAGGAAGUUUCUAUUUAGGUUAGGUUUGUGUUUUCCAUAUCCCACAGGUUAAAGGGAAUUGUCUUUCGUAUAAAUAUAGGUCUAAUGGAGAGGUUUUCCAUAUGAUCUGAGAGAAACAUAUUGAGAGCUUUAGUUUUGAGUAGUUUCUAAAGCUAAUAAAAAAAGUUGUUCUUAUAACUCUUUGUGUUUCUAAGAGAUCUGAAUUUUGAAGUUGAAGCGAUGUGAGAAAAGAGAUAUUACCAAUACUUGGCUUAUGGAACCAGUGAGACGAUGACCAGAGAGGUUGAUGGAAAUCACUCUCUUGUUACGUGUAUUGCAUGUCACGCCAGUCCAAUUACAUGGAGAUUGUUUUGGUCCCAAGAGAAAGAAACUGAGUGUAGGUUUUGGCUUAUUUGGGACCUGAACGAGAGCAAAGCUUCUCUGUCAAUAUUUAACGAAAAAGAAGUUAACCCACUAAUGGAAAAUGUUGAAAGGGAAAACAAUACAAGAAGAAGAAAUAAUGACUGAAGAGUGAAAUUGGGUAGAAGCUGAUGGACAUUCAAACCCAUUUUUAUAAUCUCUCUUAUUGAUUUUCUCUCUUUGGAAUAUGAAAAUGAAUUUACAGAAGUUUGAUGAUUUAUAGUGAUUUAUUGGACUACGUGUUUGGGUAUACAUUUGGAUUGGACUUUUCUAGCAUGGGAAGAAACGCACGUAAUAAUCAACGCAAAAGUCUACGAACUUGACAAUCUAUCAUUGUGUGGGAGUGGCCUACAUUAAACUUUGUGGUUAAAGCAGACUCUUGACCUCAUCAACUUGAACUAAACGUACCGUUAUCCAUCUCUAUCAGUUUGUUGGGCGGUGAAUGCACAAAACGUAUUAAGUCACUAGUCGACAAUUCUCUAGUUAUUGUUUAACAAAAAUUAGUAAAUUUAUUCUUACUAUUGGAGAUCAAUCAUAAUCAAGAGUGAUCUUAGUAUAUAUCUAUUUAUAGAUACUCAAUAUAUGUACAUUUACUAUUCUUGUGAUGCCCUAUGUAACAGCCCGAUCCCCCAGCGUCCGACCGGGGUUAUCGAAGGGGCGUUAUGGACACGUGUCUACUCAUUUAGCCAACCCUACGUGUCCCGUUACUGGUCCCGAGAGACGAACGCAUAACCUUCUUUGAAAUACCGUCACACCCACAUCCAUAUACUUCUACUUACAGUCCUGUGCACAGGGAAAAAUGGAAAUGGAGGGAUGAGUAACAAGUUACUCAGUGAAGUGGUUCUAGCCCAGCCUGCCCGCAUGACACUCUAUACUACUCUAUGAGGGAACUAGGACUGACUAGCCACUACAAUCAGUUAAUGCAUUUUAUCAUUUCCUAACGUCAUCUAUUGAUUUUCCACAUUCACUUCCAUUCAUUUCUAACAACCUAGUGAUCAAUCAAUACAAUGAUCUCACUCAUUGCCACACACGUCAAACCCUAGGCUUAACCGACUCAUCAUACCAGUCCGACUCGAUCCUAUGACACCUUUAACUCCCUGUUACCCGACCAUGAGCUAAAAACCCUACAAUGCACAUCCUUUUCAUCUUUUCGUCCUUUUCAACAGUGGGUAGCCCCAACUAGGCUUCUACCCCCAUAUUCUUGUGGAUUGGCCACAUCUCCUAUGGGUGCUUCCAUAUUCUUGUGGAUUGGCCACAUCUCCUAUGGAUACCUAGCGUGGACUACUACCCCACAUACUUUCCUUAGACCCUCUAUAUGCUUUCCCACCCAUGCUUAACCGUAACCUUAUUCUUUCAUACUUUCACUUAUCCUUUCACAUCCUUAUCAUUUUCACUUAUCCCUUCUCAUUCUCAUUCGCUUUCCUUUUCAUUUAGACUUGUACUUGGACUCAUUCACUAGACGCCACCCGUUAUCGGUGCCACACACAAUACACAUUGCACUCAAGUUCUACUUCAAUAACAUUAACAAUCAUUACUCAUCUAUCAGCUUAGCAUUCAUUUCUCUCUAGCAUCCUAGCUUUAAUCACAAACCACUCAUGGGACUACACAUCCAAACAUACAAGCAUAAAUUACCAAUCAAUCAUCGCUACCACAACUCCAUUUCAGUUUACUAAGUCCCAUUUAACAAUAUGAGGGUUCUUAUGCAUCGUGUUCCAUUCAUCUAACAUCCUAGCAAUAAUCAUGAUCUAUCAUCCUAGCUUUCAAACAGGGUCUAAUCAACCCUAACUCCAACAUAAAGGAGUAUACAGUACAUGAGAACAAGAUGGGUUCAAAACACUCCACCUUAGCCUAGAUCUGGAUCCGGAUCUGGAAACAAGAGACAAGGGAGAGGAGAUUGAGAUCCGGUCACCCCACCACCACACGGCGCCGGUGAGGAGAGAGAGAGCGUGCGGCGGCGAGGAGAGAGAGAGCUUCGCGCGGGAGAGAGAGAGAGAAGAGAAGAGAGACGGCGCAAGAGAGAAAGGGAGAGCUCGACGACUAGGAUUUCUGGUCUCCGGGAAUUCUCUGCAGAGCUUCGCUUUAGUUUCUGUCUGAGGCAAAAGGGAGGCUGCAUCUCUUUUUAUAGGAAAGGGGAAGGGAACCCUAGGUCUUUGCCAUAUGGGCCGUAGAGAAGCCCAUAUUCUCAAGGAAAUUUUUAUGGGCCAGGAACCGGGCCAUUACACCCUAGCUCUCCCUCUUGUAUAUAAAGAGACUAUGUAUAAUGUAUAUGAUUAUCGAAUACACAUAUACUUGCAUGGUAUCAAGAGCCAUUAGAUCUAUCAACCAAACAAGAAAUCACCGAUACAGCAACAAAACAUUCUAGAAUUUUCUCCCAAUCUUGUUCAGUUUCAGAAGCAGAGGACUGAUCUAAACUUCUUUAUUAGUGUUACCUGGAGGAUUACAGAUGGGUGAAACCGCAAGAAGAACCGCCGUGAGCGGAGCAGCAAACCUCUUGAUCAGAAACUCCAAAUCUUUGUGCUUUACAGGAACUGGAAACUUCCAUUCGCUUUCUCUUGCAUUGGCCUUUUGAACAGUAGUACAUAUGAAUAUAAAUGUCAGCGUCGUGUUUAUAAAACAACUUAUAUCAAAUAUACAGACAAUAGACGAAAGAGACAGAGAACCUUGUGGGAGGAACAAAAUAAGUUGCAGCAGCGAGCAGAGGCAGAGGAAGAGUGAAGCCUCAUCUUUUGAUUUUGCAGUUGUAGAUGGAUGAUGAAGUGGAAUAGCCCGUUUUAUCUUUUUUGACGAUUUAACCGGUUACCGAUUUGGUACAGCUGAGAAAACCGGAAUGGUUACAAGUUACAGUAUAGGGUGACUUUUAAUGUAGGAGUUAGAAAUAUUUAUGAAUUUUUGUAAUCUACUCUCACUCAAUCGGAAUGGUUACAAGUUACCGAUUUGUCAACCACUCAAUCUGUUUAAAUUCAUUUUAUUUGUCAAUUGAUAGAAAAUUUUAGUAUA